CUUAAGCCCAGUUGGGUUGGGGCUUCUGAGUUCUGUUGCUUAGGCUUCAAAUCUGCUGCUUCAUACUUCAUCAGAAGACAAUCAAAACAAAAAAUGUGGAGAGAAAACCAUCGGUGAUGAAACCUUGACAGCACAUCAUUCAUGGCAGCUCCUUCAACUGUCUAUAGAGGCUCGUUACUGAGAGCACUAAGGAUGCUUGUACCACAUUUCUCUCUCCGGGGAACCGUCCACUGACACCUAUCUUACAACAAAGAUGCAACAGUGGUUCUUAACAUUUGUUGAAUCACAGAGCCUUCUGAGGUUAGUCACCUCAAAAUAAUGUUCUACAGUCUCCUGAAGUCCAUCCAUGGACCGUGAGUCAGAAUCCCAGAGGAGGACCAUCUGAAUGGCAGGCUUAAGCCUGAGGUGCAAAGAGUUAAUGGAUGACAACCAAGAAGUACCAUAGGAUCUACAACGCAGUUUGGCGAUGGCAGAGAUCUGACACAAGAACUAAGGUCCAAGUCUUUCAUCACAACAAAGUAAAAGUACAAAGGCAGCUGCGAUAAAGUACAAAAUCUGUCAUGUUUAUAAUUUUCUCCAGUGUCAUCACCUUGAUGUGUGACAACUAAACAGACAACACAGA